rnacentral:rRNA from 1 species
UACGGAGGGUGCGAGCGUUGUUCGGAAUUACUGGGCGUAAAGCGCGCGUAGGCGGCUUUGUAAGUUAGAGGUGAAAGCCCGGGGCUCAACCCCGGAACUGCCUUUAAAACUGCAUCGCUUGAAUCCAGGAGAGGUGAGUGGAAUUCCGAGUGUAGAGGUGAAAUUCGUAGAUAUUACGGAAGAACACCAGUGGCGAAGGCGGCUCACUGGACUGGUAUUGACGCUGAGGUGCGAAAGCGGUGGGGAGCAAACAGGG